CUAUUGGUCAGAGAGGAGUCACAGCACGUGCGGACUCAGAGGCUGUAGUUUCAUUUUGUGGCAAAAUUAAAACAAUAAACGGUUGUAUUAAUUUUUUCUUCUUAUACUGCAAGUAUUGAAUUCAAAAUGAGGACGUUUAUGAUGCUGCUUCUUUACUGGACAGCGUCUGUGUCUGCAGUCAGUCAGAAGUGCCAGCUUGAUGCCGGAUCCGGGCCAGACCCGUUUUCUGUGAGCCUGGGCCACAUACACCAAACCACAAUCGGGCCAGAUGUGGCAUGCCAUCACAUAAACAGUGCCAUCUAUGCCAGGCUUGGCCCAUACCUGGAUGACAUACGUCUUAUCAUGCCAGAAGUCAGCCAGCAGUGCCGGCUUCACACCAGAUCCGGGCCAGACCUGCUUGCUAUUGACCCACUCUAUGAAGUAUUUCUACACUUGGGAUUGUCACGGUUUGCCAGGGCAAGCCGUGGGGAUGUGGGGGAAAGGAGGACCCAGAACGCUGGACUCUUCACUGCAAAUGGUUUGUUUAUUUACAGUGCGAAAAUGACAAUAAAUCCCCGUGCUCUCCCUUUACUCCCGUGUCGUGCCUUCUUCCCAAAAAGUCCCUGUUUAGUGCUCUCUGCUCCUGUGUCUCUGCACUCCCCAUGCUCACUGCUCUCUCUCGUCCCACACUCCUCCUGAGGAAAACAAUAGAGACAGCCGUUAAAACACUUAAUCCCAGCAGACAUACACUCACUGACUUUUAAACUAAACUAGAAGACUGACGUGAAGUCUAACGCAAUAAUCCCGCGUCGGUGGAAGCUCCAUCGCUCUCCUAAACAGCUCCCCCGACGAGCCCAGAUCAGCAGCAGGUGUGUGGCAAGGACCUCGGGCGUGGCCAGGUGGCUGUGACUUGGCCACAGAAAACAGCUACACAUCACAUGCACACACACACACACCUGCCUACAUACAAAUGUGGACAGAGAACAGCAGCAGUGUAGAUGAAACACACACCAAAUAAUAAUAAUAAUAAUAAUAAUAAUAAUAGCCCACACUGCUCAUGGACCCCGAGUCCCCAGAGCUGGAUCCACGGGGAUGAUUGAUGAAGUUCAGAUGAUUCGUUAUGACAGCAGCACCAGGAGAGCUGAACCCAAACAGCAGUGGAUGAACGAUGCAGCAGAUACACAGCACUGGGAGAGGAACACUGCGUUUUUCCCUCCAUUAAUAAUUUAAAGCAG